UUGGAUUUCAACUAGCUGGUUGGAGAGCUUCAGGGGUAAAAUGGGAUAGCUGUUGGUUCUUCGAUGUCUACAUCUGGAGGCUUCGACUGUUUUACACAGCCAUACUUCACCGACUUCAGUUUUGGCUUCCAUUCUUCACCUAACCAUUGCUUCACUUCCUUCAUCCCCCUCUACAGCAGCUCCGGUUCCAUCUUCCUCCAACCACCAACCACCGGCUACGGCGACCACUCCUCCUCCUUUCUCUCUCUCCCUUGCUCGCGCUCUCGCCUUUUCUCUCAACACCCACAGUGCUCUGCCUCAGUUUGUUUGCUUUGGCUGUUUUCCGUUCCGGGUUGAGGUGAUUUUAUCAUUAAGAUGCCAAUGUUGACUGCUCCAAGUACAAUUGUUAGCUCGCCUCUAUUGCCAGCAGGUGCUCACUUUCCGACUCACUUGGGUUCUAUCAGGAAGAGGAUUGAAUCUCACAGAUUAGCUCAGCUGCACCCAGAAAACUGUCUGAGAAGAUAAUAUGCAGAGCAGGGGACUUGCAAUCUACUGAGAAGAUAAUUUUUUAUUAUUAUAUUAGUUUGUUUUUUAUUGUGUGCAGUGGUUAAAGAAGACUAGGAGGAAAGCGUUAAUUGCUUCUCAAGUCUGUAGAGAGAUAUCUCACAUAAUGAUGAAAAAGAUAUGUUUGUCUUUAGUCGAAUGAAAAAGAUAUUAACCGGUGACAAUAAAA